UACGUAGGGUGCGAGCGUUGUCCGGAAUUAUUGGGCGUAAAGAGCUUGUAGGCGGUUUGUCGCGUCUGCUGUGAAAUUUCGGGGCUCAACCCCGAACUUGCAGUGGGUACGGGCAGACUAGAGUGUGGUAGGGGAGACUGGAAUUCCUGGUGUAGCGGUGAAAUGCGCAGAUAUCAGGAGGAACACCGAUGGCGAAGGCAGGUCUCUGGGCCACUACUGACGCUGAGAAGCGAAAGCAUGGGGGAG
rnacentral:rRNA from 1 species